rnacentral:rRNA from 1 species
AGAUGAGUUUGAUCGUGGCUCAGGACGAACGCUGGCGGCGUGCCUAAUACAUGCAAGUCGAGCGCGGGAAGCAAGCUGAUCCUCUUCGGAGGUGACGCUUGUGGAACGAGCGGCGGACGGGUGAGUAACACGUGGGCAACCUGCCUGUAAGACUGGGAUAACCCCGGGAAACCGGGGCUAAUACCGGAUAAUACUUUUCAUCACCUGAUGGAAAGUUGAAAGGUGGCUUUUAGCUACCACUUACAGAUGGGCCCGCGGCGCAUUAGCUAGUUGGUGAGGUAACGGCUCACCAAGGCAACGAUGCGUAGCCGACCUGAGAGGGUGAUCGGCCACACUGGGACUGAGACACGGCCCAGACUCCUACGGGAGGCAGCAGUAGGGAAUCUUCCGCAAUGGACGAAAGUCUGACGGAGCAACGCCGCGUGAGUGAUGAAGGUUUUCGGAUCGUAAAGCUCUGUUGUUAGGGAAGAACAAGUGCCGUUCGAAUAGGGCGGCACC